ACGAAGUUCUGGGCGCUGGAAGGGAGCACGUAGCGCUGCUUUUUGCACCCUGCCAACUGAAAGCACCAACAAUUGCAGCACGUGGGGACAGCCGGGAACACAAGUUGGGAGCUGAAGAUUUCAGCAGCAUGCACGCUGAUUCUUUCAUACAUGUAUAUAAGUGUGUGUAUGUAUAUAUUCAAAAAGCGCAAACAAAAGUCCUGAAAUCCUGGAGCGUUACCCUGACUUGGUGAGAUCUUCCAUUUCCGUGCAUCAUUUCUAGCCUAUCCCGUGCUGACAUGUGUGGUGAGGAGUGACAUCAGGCGCUGGCUGCCGGCCCGCCUGGUAGCAGGAGACGGUUGCGAUGCGAGCCAGAGGACGAGCCGCAGAGCCCUCCCCGGGACAGGCAUCAGGCAGAUGGCCUGGCAGCCAUCCUGCGCCGCCGACGGGCAGCCCGGCGUCUGGGGCCUCGUAUUCGAAUGACGUGGCAGCUGGGUCAAGAUUUUUCUUUGGUGCUGCAAUUUCCUACAAAAGAAAUGUUUUCUAGGUACAGACUUGGAAGGAAAACAACAUUAUAUUCUAAAUUAUUUUUUAAAAAGCUGCAGUUAUCACAAAAUCAAAAAGCGUGGACCUCAGACGCUGCCGCUGGAGUGGUUCAUGGGAAGAAUCCAGGAAAGAUGUGCUGAACGCUGCAGUAACGUAUGGAUAGUUUCAUUCACCACUAUAUUACUCCAAUUUUCAACCGAUGUAACAUAAUAUCACAGCAGCAUGAAUAUGAAGUACCGCAGCGGGGAGUCAGUCCUCUUCUCUGCAUUAUUCCAGAACAAUAAGCAGAUGACAUAUGGUCUUUCUCCUUGCUAGUAAAAAAAUGAAAGGCGUGAGAGAUACUGUUAAGUGGAGCUCAGCGAAGGCCAAUUGCAAAGUUCUUCGCUAUCACCUUGGAAAUAAUGAGGGAAAAUAUUGCCCAACAGAUGGAAGAUUGAACUGAUGAAGAUGCCUUGUGAGGAAUGUAUAAGGAAUUAUUACAUACAGAAACCAAGGACCUAAAUGAGCCUCAGUUUCUAGCAAGAAGGGGAUUACAGCAAACGGUGUUCUUUCUCCCGUUAUUGGAUUCCCAGCUGUAGAAAGAAUUAAGCAAUGAGGUGAAGACUUGGAAAAAAGAACAGCUCCAUUUUGAGAUCUGAUGAAGACCAAAGCAAUUAGCAGUCGGUUCCUUGGAUAAGCAGGCGGUCAGGGGAAGACCGUGCUGCCAGGACUGGGAAGAGAUAGGAGACCACAAAAAGGAAAGGAAGAUACCUCCCAAGUGAGAGGCAUUUAAAAAGGCGCAAUGAAGAAGAGCAGGGGAAGGGUCUUCAGUGAAGGCUGCUGGAAGUGGGGCAGCCUUGUGACAAAUCUCGCACUCCAUCCGCAUUGGGGAAACAUUUGCCAACUCGCAGGUGAGUGAGCACCACAGAAAAGGUGACUCUUAGUGACUCUUCUGCUAUCCCCUUCUCCGCAUGCAAGCAUUGCACGACGAUGUUUAAGAGAGGGGAUGGAGUAUCGCUCUUAAUACUGUGACAUACUAUGAUGUUACUGUGGUGUUUAGAAACUCUUGAACGCAGCUCCUUCACAGAGAAGGCAAACGUCAUCUAGACAGCCUAGUUUUGAUGUGAAUUUGCCAGUUUAUAACUGUAUUGCAAAGGCAUGGCAUGGCUAAUGCGGGGACUCUCAAAUGUUUUUCCGUCUACCCCGACACUGAAAUAAAAAAAAUGAAGUAAAAAUCUGACUUCAGUUCUGUCACUUAGAAAGAGCGGACAGAUCAAUAGGAGGAUCCCGUAGCGCUACGGCCGGGGGGGCCAGAGCCUUUCCUACACCCUCAGCAAGGUCUUGCUCCAGUCCCACACACCUCUUUAAAACCAGCGCCAGGCUCAGCGGGGGGUAUUUCACGCACGUGUUCUCAGGCUGAACGUGUCUUCCGAGGGCUUGGGCUCUUUCUGCACCCCUGCAGAAGACUGAAUUUUAUCCAAGUGCCGACGAUGUUCCCUGUACAGUCCAGUUUCCUGACUUGGGUGCAUUUGGGAACCUCUACCUAUUUGUAUUUAUUCUUGUCUUUUCUAGUAUUCUCCACCACAUUCAUUGCUUGGAAAAGGUUACUCGGAACAGCCUGUCAUCGCAUUUUAGUAGUCUCUUGAAUAAAACCCUGCUGGCUUUCUCUGCUUCCCAACGAUUUGGUUUUGUUUUUCUAUGACUGACAGCUCCAUGCCUUGUGUUCGAUAGCGACCGUUUGCAGAGCACAUGUGAAAGAGAGUAAGUGGCAUUUUUCCCUUUUGGUGUGUCAGCUUUAGUUCUUAUUCGGAGCAAACUGAGGGAGCCCAAUUACCGUGCCUCUGCAUACCCAGACCAAGGCUGCACUGAGGCUCAGGGGAGACCUCAUCGCGCUCCACAACUGCUGAAAGGAGGUCGUAGCCAGGUGGGGGUUGGUCUCUUCUUCCAAGUAACAAGCGAUAGGACGAGAGGAAAUGGCCUCGAGUUGCACCAGCGGAGGUUUAGAUUGGAUAUUAGGAAAAAUUUCCUCACCGAACAGGUUGUCAAGCACUGGAACA